ACGGACUGAACUCUGAACCCAGAUCAGGAGAAAAAUAUCCCGUCAUACUUACAAGACAUUUCUGUGUACUUGAAGUAAAUGAAGGUACUGCUGCAUGGACAUGGCUGUCAGCUAACAACAGAUAACACUGCUAUUAAAAAGUUGCAGGAGUUAAUGCCACAGAGGAAAAAGAUGAGGCAAAAAGCUGAUGGAGGACUCCCCAGGCUUGUACAAGAAACACCCAAUGCUCCUGGAGAAUCUUCAUCAGAAC